AUUUAUCUAAAACUGUAAACUUUAUAACCUUUUAUAUACUGUCUUGUAAUUUGUAAUUCAUAGCAAAAUAAGUUUUACAUGUGGUUUAAUAGUGUUUCUAGUUUAGAUUUUUUUUUAAUAAUCUGCCCUGGUUGACCUGGGGUUAUUAAAGGAAACAUGUCUUUGGACAUUUUGAUGUGAAGGUAUUGGCUUUGUAACCUGGUAACAAAAAAUUUUUCUAAGAAAAAUAACCUUUUGGAGAACC
rnacentral:lncRNA from 1 species